UUUUUUUUUUUUUUUGCAAAAUGUAAAAGAAAAAAGUGAUACUUGACGCACAGAGAGUCAGCAGAACGUCAACGUCGUCGCGUUUGCCCCUUUUAGCAUACGCGUGUAAAAAUUCGAUUACGCAAGCCGCGCACGCCCAACAAACAAACAAAAAAAGAGAAGCACAUAUAGGUGGCUGAUGGUCAAAUUUUUUUUCGAUAAAAACGCAGCUUCCAAGUGAAUUUCCUCAAAGACUUGCAUAAAAAAAAAAGAAUCUUAGCAUGUACACAGAGACGGAGACAAAAAAAAAGAAAACGAUCGCGCGAGCAGUGACGCGCGAGUUGCAUAUAAUAAUCUUUCUGUUUUGAUAAUAUGUCAUAGCAGAAAAGAAGAAGUUCUCUCUCUCUCUCUCUCGCUCUCUUUCUCUAAUUAUAUCGAUUUAUCAGUACAGCAGUCUUGUAUACGUGUACAUACACUUCCCCCAAAUAUCAUGCAGUUCCUCAAUGUUAAGGUUACACACUCCGUUAUCUGUCGUCGCAGCUUGUUGUUCUCCCUCUCGUGCUUUGCAUGCGCUCGAUUGAUGGUUAGUUAUCGAGUGGUAUAUAACAUACAAGCCCUCUCUCGCUCUUAUCGAUCAACAGCCCGUUAUACGCUUAUUGAUUAAUCGAUACAAAUCGGUAUUAUAUGCUUUUCUCUCUUUAUUCCGAUACGUGUACAUUAUAAUGUACUUCGUAUACAGAAGCUCAUUUCGCGCGUGAGUAUGUUGUAUUGAAGAUCGCGUGUGCGAGGUUGUAUGCGUAUAGCAGACCUUUGAGUCGGUAAUGGUGUAGUCACGCUAAUAAAGCCGUAUUAAGGCUUAAUGGUCGACGCACUGAUAUACAACGCGCACGUGUGAAAAUCCAUGACCGAGAGUGGAAACAACUCGACUGGAAGUUGAAAAUUUAGAUUUGAGGACACACCAGGCCGAUUUUUUUUUUUUUUUUUUUUGCGGGGCAGAGGUAAUCGAAGAGAGCUUUCAUUUGAUGGCUGGUGGGUUAAAAAAAUGAUUGCCUAGGUCAGAAGUUGUCUAGGCUUAAAAAUGGCAAAAAAUCACGAAUAAUUAAAUUAUGUUAUAUUAUCAACCAGCCGGGGCUCAAAUUAAAGCACCUUACAUCUAUACCUUCGCUUUGAAAAUUUAGUCCAAUGUUUUAAUUUUAUGAUUGAUAGGCACAUAUACAGCUGAUCGUAAAAUUGAAAUGUUAGUCUAAUUUUUCGAAACGAAAGCAGAAGAAAGGAGCUAUACAAUUUGAGCCCCGGACCGUUGAAAUUUCGUAAAAAAAUGAAAAAGCGCCUUCAGACAAAAAGUCGAAAUUUUCGGGUUUUCGUUAAUUUUCCAUAAGAGAAUUUGAAAGAAAAGGCCAUUUGAAUUUGGUAGUUUCCACUCGGUCGUGAUUUACAUGUCAACUUUUUUCUCUUUCACUCGAUGAUUGCAAUGUGCAUCAGCUUUUUACGGCUGUUCUUCCUCGUUAAUGGAUAAUUUCUUUUUCUCCUCAAUUUAUUACAAAUGAGUAAACGCCCGCGUGGCCGGUUACGCACGCACACACGCAUCGGUUAAAAUCCACACAUAACGUGCACAUAUAUCACAUACAGAGAUGUUAAAACAACUGUUAGUUCAUAAUUAUAAUAUAUGGUUAGUUACAUAAUUUUAUAUAAAUUGUGUACAGAAAUGAAUCAAGCACCGCCAGAGAGCAUAAUACAAUAUCCACGUGCUUCAAGUAUAUGUGCAAAGAGUAUACAGUGCGCGAAAACCUCAUCAAAGUUUCUCUGCCUCUCGAUUCGCAUUAAGCCAUUACAUUACAAGCGUUUUGCAUUACAUAAUAUAUACUAUAUGUAUAUAUAUAUAUACCAAUUCGUUUUGAAUUUCAGAGCAGACGAAAUUGCCAUAAGCGAAAAAGCACGACUGUAUAUGAAAUGUCACGCAGUCCCCUCGAGAGGCACGAUAAAGGACAAUUACGAUGAUGUGCAGUAUACCUGAGGGUGGACCGAGCAACCGUUGACUUCCACAUGGGUAACGAUCCUCCGCGAGAAGCCGACAGAGAUGAAAGAACCGGACAACGACGAGCCAGCAGAAGUCGCCCCAGAAUCCGUGAACUUGAAACCCAAUUUUGCCGGCUAUAGUAGCGCGAGCUCCGACAGCAGCGAACCUUCGUCUUCGGUUAUAGGUUGCGGAGCAGCUGGUGUUGGAAAGAUUGGAAAACAUUAUACCAAGCAAGAUUUACGAAAAGAUUGAUUUCAAUAUUUUGGAGCAAGAGGUGUUUUUCAAUAUUCAAGUGACAAAGUGCAGAUUAGGCUGUCCAGAUUUGAAGCCUCUAUUGUCAUUUGUACUCAAGCCUUAUCUGAAGGCUCAUAAAGUCAACAGCAACACAGUUGUUGCGAUUGUUCAAAAAAAGUGGGAAGAUGACGUUCAAGUUCAGAAGGUUCUUUAUUCCAAAAAGAGAUUGUCCCUCAUCGAUGAUCCAAACUUAGUGGAUGUGCAGAAGGAGCUCUCUUCGUCCAAGGACUAUACUUCCAUUAAAAUACUGUUUCGGGUUGAAAAUACGUCGCUGAGUAGUUUUUAUGAUAUUAUGCUGGCCUACAUCAUGCAAAUAGAGUCGUACGAUCCUAAUAUCAAGUUUUUAUUCAGAAAAGGUAGUGAAUACAUUUAUAGAAAUCAAGUUUGGAUGGAUGAUGUCGUAUUGUCCUGUAAAAUCUUUAGCUCUGCUUGUGCAAAAAUAAUUAAAAAUAGUAACAAUGACCGUUUUCGCAAAGAUAUGAUGACUUUGCUUGGUGCGAGGAAAUCAACUGGUGUUGAAGCUGCUCUUGGUUGCAAGUUAAUAGCCAAGGCUAAUAAUCAAUUCAAGGUACCAAUUAAGAACUCAAAGACUGAGAAGCAAGAUUCUAUGGAUGUGGAUUCACAGAUAGAAUCAGAUACGAUGGACAUAGUUUAACUAACGUCUAAUUUUAUGAAACAAGUUCCUGAUUAGAUGAAGAUUUUUUAAAAAAACGAAAAAAAAAAAUCAUGUUUUUUAAAUAGAGAAAUUGAUUACGCCAGCAAUAGAAUUAAGAUUAUUCAAUUGCUUUACUGAUAUAGUUAGUACAAUUGAAAUAAAGUAGAGCUGUAAUUGAUUAAAUGUAUGCGCUUAAUUGUAUCAAUUGACAUGAUACGAAUUGAAAAACUUAGCUGAUUACUUUCACUUUGAUAAUGAAUUUUUUUAUUUAUACAAAGUUGUUUCAAGUAGAUAAAUAGAGCAAUUGAUAAGCAAAAAAUUGUUCAGUUCAUGUAGUACAUACAUACUUGUAUAAUUGCAAGUAAGAACAAAUAUAUAAUUUUAAUGAAAAACGGUUGGGUUCUUUCAUUUUUCAGCUAUGUUAUUCAACUGCGGUUUACCAAAUGAAAAUGUAGACAUCAGACCAAGUGACAGUUCAUAAAUUUAUUCUUCAUUUAAUUCCAUUGCCUCGAUAAGGCGCAGCAAAUCUUGGUUGCUGUAGUAAUCGAGAGUCCCCUCCCCUUCAACUCAGCACGGCCUCAAAGAUUUCCAGUUUUGGAUCAUGCAGCACGCAGCGCUUGGCCAGGUGCUCGAACACAAUCGACCUCGUGAUGAAGCUGGACCCACUGCUUCUCCCAGUCCGGUGUUACUGGCUGGUCGAGAUCUGCACGAGCAUCAACCUCAAGAUCGAGCACUUGCCAGCGUGCUUUGAGCAGAGGUGGAACACCAAAAAUACCUACAUCGUUGACAACUGCACAUAGGCACACUACGUGCAGCCACGAGUCCAUGUACUCCUGCUCUUUCUUCCGCUACUCUGCGCUUCUUCUUCUUCUUAUUAGUCCAGCCGAGUAAGCUUCUUCAAUGAGUCCUAUAAAGAGUUGGAAAAAUUGAAAACCCUUACGAAUUGCUAGAGAGCUGUCGAUCAAUCGAUUUUCGCCUUACUACCAAUCCAAAGUAGGACAGUAUACCUCGUACGGUGAGUCUAGUUUACUCAAGUCGGCUCCACGAUCCAGAAGCAGUUUGAUAUCUGCACUACCGCUAUUAUUUUCCUCAAAAAGAUAGCUAGAUAUCAAUGCAACAGAUGUAACAAAAUCGUAGAAAACAUAAUAGAACAGAAAAAAUGCA